rnacentral:rRNA from 1 species
CUGGCGGCAUGCCUAAGACAUGCAAGUCGAACGAGGUGGCCCACUGAUAUAGAUUGAAAUAUGAAGUGCUUGCACUGAUUACGGAUUCUAUUGAUGUGGAUUUCCACCGAGUGGCAAACGGGUGAGUAACACGUGGGUUACCUGCCUCUAAGUUGGGGAUACCAAUUGGAAACGAUUGUUAAUACCGAAUAAGCUCUACGGAGUAAAGGUGCCUUUAAAGCAUCGCUUAGAGAUGGGCCUGCGGCGUAUUAGCUUGUUGGUGGGGUAAUGGCCUACCAAGGCAACGAUGCGUAGCCGAACUGAGAGGUUAAUCGGCCACACUGGGACUGAGACACGGCCCAGACUCCUACGGGAGACAGCAGUUAGGGAUAUUCGACAAUGGGGGAAACCCUGAUCGAGCAAUGCCGCGUGAACGAUGACGGCCCUAUGGGUUGUAAAGUUCUGUUGUUUGGAAAGAACUGUAAGAUUAGGAAAUGAAUCUUACUUGACGGUACCAUUCAAGAAAGCCACGGCUAACUACGUGCCAGCCGCCGC